AACGAACGCUGGCGGCAGGCCUAACACAUGCAAGUCGAGCGCCCCGCAAGGGGAGCGGCGGACGGGUGAGUAACGCGUGGGAACGUGCCCUCUUCUACGGAAUAGCCUCGGGAAACUGGGAGUAAUACCGUAUACGCCCUUUGGGGGAAAGAUUUAUCGGAGGAGGAUCGGCCCGCGUUGGAUUAGGUAGUUGGUGGGGUAAUGGCCUACCAAGCCGACGACCCAUAGCUGGUUUGAGAGGAUGAUCAGCCACACUGGGACUGAGACACGGCCCAGACUCCUACGGGAGGCAGCAGUGGGGAAUCUUAGACAAUGGGCGCAAGCCUGAUCUAGCCAUGCCGCGUGAGCGAUGAAGGCCGUUAGGGUUGUAAAGCUCUUCAGGUGGGGAAGAUAAUGACUGUACCCACAGAAGAACGCCCCGGCUAACUCCGCGCCAGCAGCCGCGGUAAU
rnacentral:rRNA from 1 species